AUGGCAUGUAUUUAAUGCGGGUGGAUGAUUUUAGUUCAGCCGUUUAGCUUGCAUGCAAAAUUAUUUUCUAUUGAAGAUUUUAUUCGCUGCACUCGGUCAUAUUCGAGUCUAUGAUUUUUCUGAAAUUGGUACAUUU
ensembl:snoRNA K07C5.10 ncRNA